AGGCCACCCUGUAGGGGGCGGCAGCCUGGAGGAGGGGAGCACCCUGCAGCAAACUCGACAGGGCAGCCCGCGUCCUUCCCUCCCAGCCUACCAGAGUGGCGCGGAGCCCUUCUCCCAGACCAGCUCCCUGCAUCCUGCCAGAGGGGAGGCGUUGAAGUGCCCAGACGGAGCCACCAGCCGGCUCCAGGAGACGCGGGAGCCCAGCACCGUGGCGGGAGGAUGUGCUGAGCCGCCCCCAGAGGUGGGGGCACUGCUCCCGCUUGGCCAGUUCCAAGAGCUGAAGGUGUUUUCACAUGUAUCACAGCAGAAUGGAAGAGGGUGAAGGUCAAAAGGUUGUUUGGCUCGCUCUGCUCCGAACUGACCCCACUUCCCUGCCGGAGCGCCAGAUGGGCAGAGUGGGGCAAGCCACCGUGCCCCGACCCCUCUACGCCCCGCCUCAACUAAGCUUCACAAUCAUCAUUGAUGUGGAAGAAGAAAAGUCAUCAAGAGUGGAACCUGCAAAUUUUGAUUUGACAUAAUGGGUGGAGGUAAUCAACGCAAAACAAAGUCGAGAGGCUACCAAUAGCUGAAAAGCUACUAGCAGAUGAGAGAUUGAUUCUUCAUUUCCUUUUGUGUGACCACUUCCACUGGGAAGCCCCAAGAGGAUUACCAAAGGAUCAUUCGGUAAUGAAUAGCCAACAAUUUGUGAUAUUUGGUUACAGAUUGCAUCCCAGUACUCUCCAAUGACUGGACAUGUCCACUAUACAUGCAUAAAACCUCCUCUUUCACCACAAUUUCUCCAACAUUUAUCUCCAUUCUGUCAAUAUAUACAUAUUUUAACCUGACUGGUGUGAGGUAGCAUGGAAACAGUAUCUUAAAGAAAUUUUUUUAUUGUGCUACCGAGUGAAUUUGCUGGCCCUCUUCCAGACUGAACCCCAUUCCUAUGGAGUAAUGCAUAAAACAUAAGCCGUUGUAUCAGAGGCCUGGUAUGAGGCCCGAGGCCUAAACUAAAGUAGUGGUCAAAACUUUGCUAAUAUGAAGCAAAGUCAGGUUGUGAACAAGCGGCAGGCCCUGCUCACAAAAUUUGGCAAGCACAGGGCUAAUAUUGCAAAAACACAUAUUCUUAAGAGGUGCUAGGUACAGAGCACUCAAGCAAGCACAUUCCAGAAGGGUGGUACCAAAACACCUCAAUAACGACACAUUCCCCAAAGAUAACAGGAACACACUGACUCAUCCUAAAGAUAAGGUCAGGAUGACAACACGAUGAAUAAAAAUGUUGUAAUCAAACCAACAUGUAAAAGGCAAUGGGUGGCACCCUGAUACGUCGGGGCAAUAUGUAACUUGUUUGUAUUGGUGUAUAAAGAUAAAUCUGAGAGGGACUGUCUUUGGCCAGCUGAGGGGGCAGUGGAAAUUCCCACCACUGACUGAGCUGCAUCCAUUGUUAUGAGCAUACAUGUAUUAGUGGUCCGGUAAAGUCUGCAGGAUACUAGUACCGUGCUUCGUCAACAAUAAACCUAGAUGGGUCCCUUCCUAUCUUAACAGAUCUUGUGGUCAUUGGGUGGUUCGCUCAAAGUCUGCUGUGCCAGCUUUCUGUGCAGAGCUGGGACAGCACACAGAGAGAACACACAUACACACAGCUAAACAUCUAAACACAGUGUCUAUCCACAUCUUUUCCCCAAUGUGCCAGAUACAGACAAUAUUUUAUUAGGAAAGAUGUCUGCAAAGAUGGAUAUAAAUUAGUUAUAUUUUUUUGUUUCCUAAUUGACCAGAUGCCAUUGCCUAUAGGCAAUAAAUAGUUUGCCUAUAGUUUAAUAUAUUAAACUAGUUUGUAUAAAGUUGCCCAUAGCUUGCCAGUCCAGAGAGCCUUUUAAAAACAUAUGCCAGUGAAAGAUCCUAUGUUUGCCUUUAUUAUUGGACUGUGUAUUGAUACCACUUAUAAUACUACCAUAACUGUGGAUCAUAUGGUAUGACGGGUUGGAUCACAGAAACCCCCUUGGGAACUACCAACUGAUGUGCCAAGACUACUUCUGCCCCUU